UGAGUGGCGGACGGGUGAGUAACGCGUGGGUAACCUGCCUCACACAGGGGGAUAACAGUUAGAAAUGACUGCUAAUACCGCAUAAGCGCACGGUACCGCAUGGUACAGUGUGAAAAACUCCGGUGGUGUGAGAUGGAUCCGCGUCUGAUUAGGUAGUUGGUGAGGUAACGGCCCACCAAGCCGACGAUCAGUAGCCGACCUGAGAGGGUGACCGGCCACAUUGGGACUGAGACACGGCCCAAACUCCUACGGGAGGCAGCAGUGGGGAAUAUUGCACAAUGGGCGAAAGCCUGAUGCAGCAACGCCGCGUGAGUGAAGAAGUAUCUCGGUAUGUAAAGCUCUAUCAGCAGGGAAGAAAAUGACGGUACCUGACUAAGAAGCCCCGGCUAACUACGUGCCAGCAGCCGCGGUAAUACGUAGGGGGCAAGCGUUAUCCGGAUUUACUGGGUGUAAAGGGAGCGUAGACGGCGAGGCAAGUCUGAUGUGAAAACCCGGGGCUCAACCCCGUGACUGCAUUGGAAACUGUUUUGCUUGAGUGCCGGAGAGGUAAGCGGAAUUCCUAGUGUAGCGGUGAAAUGCGUAGAUAUUAGGAAGAACACCAGUGGCGAAGGCGGCUUGCUGGACAGUAACUGACGUUCAGGCUCGAAAGCGUGGGGAGCAAACAGGAUUAGAUACCCUGGUAGUCCACGCUGUAAACGAUGGAUACUAGGUGUGGGGGGUCUGACCCCCUCCGUGCCGCAGUU
rnacentral:rRNA from 1 species